GAUGAACGCUGGCGGCGUGCUUAACACAUGCAAGUUGAACGAAGUGGCGGAUGGGCGAGUAACACGUGCGGAACCUGCCUUUCACAGGGGAAUAACACUGGGAAACCAGUACUAAUACCGCAUAGUGAAAGAUGGCCUCGCGCCUGAUUAGCUAGUAGGUGAGGUAACUGCUCACCUAGGUGAUGAUCAGUAGCAGGACGGAAGGUGAAUCGGCCGCGUUGGGACUGAGAGACAGCAGAGACGCCUACGGGAGGCAGCACUGGGGAAUAUUGGGCAAUGGCGCAAGUCUGAACCAGGAACGCCGCGUGAAGGAAGACGGUCUUCGGAAGGUAAACUUCUUUGGACAGGGACACGGUACCUGUAGAAUAAGCAACGGCUAACUACGUGCCAGCAGCCGCGGUAAUUC
rnacentral:rRNA from 1 species